AGACCCGAAACCCGGUGAUCUAGCCAUGGGCAGGUUGAAGGUUGGGUAACACUAACUGGAGGACCGAACCGACUAAUGUUGAAAAAUUAGCGGAUGACCUGUGGCUGGGGGUGAAAGGCCAAUCAAACCGGGAGAUAGCUGGUUCUCCCCGAAAGCUAUUUAGGUAGCGCCUCGUGAAUUCAUCUCCGGGGGUAGAGCACUGUUUCGGCUAGGGGGCCAUCCCGGCUUACCAACCCGAUGCAAACUGCGAAUACCGGAGAAUGUUAUCACGGGAGACACACGGCGGGUGCUAACGUCCGUCGUGAAGAGGGAAACAACCCAGACCGCCAGCUAAGGUCCCAAAGUCAUGGUUAAGUGGGAAACGAUGUGGGAAGGCCCAGACAGCCAGGAUGUUGGCUUAGAAGCAGCCAUCAUUUAAAGAAAGCGUAAUAGCUCACUGGUCGAGUCGGCCUGCGCGGAAGAUGUAACGGGGCUAAACCAUGCACCGAAGCUGCGGCAGCGACACUCAGGUGUUGUUGGGUAGGGGAGCGUUCUGUAAGCCUGCGAAGGUGGCCUGUGAGGGUUGCUGGAGGUAUCAGAAGUGCGAAUGCUGACAUAAGUAACGAUAAAGCGGGUGAAAAGCCCGCUCGCCGGAAGACCAAGGGUUCCUGUCCAACGUUAAUCGGGGCAGGGUGAGUCGACCCCUAAGGCGAGGCCGAAAGGCGUAGUCGAUGGGAAACGGGUUAAUAUUCCCGUACUUGGUGUUACUGCGAAGGGGGGACGGAGAAGGCUAUGUUGGCCGGGCGACGGUUGUCCCGGUUUAAGCGUGUAGGUGUGUGUUCCAGGUAAAUCCGGUUCACUUUAACACUGAGGCGUGAUGACGAGGCACUACGGUGCUGAAGCAACAAAUGCCCUGCUUCCAGGAAAAGCCUCUAAGCAUCAGGUAACAUCAAAUCGUACCCCAAACCGACACAGGUGGUCAGGUAGAGAAUACCAAGGCGCUUGAGAGAACUCGGGUGAAGGAACUAGGCAAAAUGGUGCCGUAACU
rnacentral:rRNA from 2 species